GACGUAGGGCGCGAGCGUUGUCCGGAUUUAUUGGGCGUAAAGAGCUCGUAGGCGGCUUGUCGCGUCGACUGUGAAAUCCCGCGGCUCAACUGCGGGUCUGCAGUCGAUACGGGCAGGCUAGAGUUCGGUAGGGGAGACUGGAAUUCCUGGUGUAGCGGUGAAAUGCGCAGAUAUCAGGAGGAACACCGGUGGCGAAGGCGGCAUCCUGGACCGGCAUUGACGCUGAGGCGCGAAAGCCAGGGGAGCAAACGGG
rnacentral:rRNA from 1 species